rnacentral:rRNA from 1 species
CCUACGGGGGGCAGCAGUGAGGAAUAUUGGUCAAUGGGCUUACGCCUGAACCAGCCAAGUCGCGUGAGGGAAGACUGCCCUAUGGGUUGUAAACCUCUUUUGUCAGGGAGCAAUUGGCGCUACGUGUAGCGUUAUCGGAAGUACCUGAAGAAAAAGCAUCGGCUAACUCCGUGCCAGCAGCCGCGGGAAUACGGAGGAUGCGAGCGUGAUCCGGAUUUAUUGGGUUAAAGGGGUGCGUAGGCGGAAUGCCAAGUCAGCGGUAAAAUCGCGGGGCUCAACCUCGCUCCGCCGUUGAAACUGGGGUUCUUGAGUGCGGGAGAGGGAUGCGGAAUGCGUGGUGUAGCAGUGAAAUGCGUAGAUAUCACGAAGAACACCGAUGGCGAAGGCAGCAUACCGGGGCCCCACUGACGCUGAAGCACGAAAGCGUGGGGAGCGAACAGGAUUAGAUACCCGUGUAGUC